CUCAAGUUUAGUCUCCCCAAGUUGGGUUAUCCUGCUCUUCAGUUUAAUACUUGUGGUGACAUCAUCUGCUAUUUGAGGUCCAAUAGGCCUCUCACCUCUCUUUCAAAGUUGUUUCAAAAUUUUUAAAUCUAGUGGUGAAUAAAAAAGCAUUUCAAAUUAUAUUUAUCCUGCUUUAAAAAAAAAAUAAAAAAAAAAUCCUUUCAUUGUAGUGGUUUCGCUAUG